AUCAACUGCUGCUAUGAAAGUUAUUUGGGAUCAUGUAGAUGACCUUUCAUGCAAAAAGUAGAUCACAAAAUAAAUAAUUGGAGUUUUAGAAGACUUGAACUCUACAGCAUAGAGAAACCAACAAAACCAACCUAAUAAAAAUAUUGCAUCUUAAAGGAUCCAAGGUCAUCAAGAGCAGGGGGCCAUAGAGCUUAAUUUUUUUUAGUGUUAUUCAAGCAUCUAAAACAGCCAGACACACUACAUGCUUAUCCCUAGAGAUACAGACUUGACCUAGGGUAGAAACAAGCUGCACCACCUCCAGCAAUGGUUCUGAAAAGGCACUCUUC